UAGAAAGUGCUGGGUGAUUGCCUUCCCCCCC
rnacentral:piRNA from 1 species